GAUGAACGCUGGCGGCGUGCCUAAUACAUGCAAGUCGAGCGAACGGACGAGAAGCUUGCUUCUCUGAUGUUAGCGGCGGACGGGUGAGUAACACGUGGAUAACCUACCUAUAAGACUGGGAUAACUUCGGGAAACCGGAGCUAAUACCGGAUAAUAUUUUGAACCGCAUGGUUCAAAAGUGAAAGACGGUCUUGCUGUCACUUAUAGAUGGAUCCGCGCUGCAUUAGCUAGUUGGUAAGGUAACGGCUUACCAAGGCAACGAUGCAUAGCCGACCUGAGAGGGGGUAGGCGCACCGGGAAGGUGAGCGGCGGCCCAGGCCCUGAGGGAAGGCACAGAUAGGGAAUUUACCCAGAAGGGGGGAAGCUUGAAGGAUGGGCGCAGGGUGGAUGAAGAAACGCUGCGGGCGGGAAAACGGUUUUAUGGGGGAAAAAAGUUUGUGAAAGUAACGGAGCGUGAGUGAAGGGAACCGAUAAAGAAGCCCCGGCUAAAUACGGG
rnacentral:rRNA from 1 species